rnacentral:rRNA from 1 species
CAAUAGCGUAUAUUAAAGUUGUUGCGGUUAAAAAGCUCGUAGUUGGAUUUCUGCCGAGGACGACCGGUCCGCCCUCUGGGUGAGUAUCUGGCUCGGCCUGGGCAUCUUCUUGGAGAACGUAACUGCACUUGACUGUGUGGUGCGGUAUCCAGGACUUUACUUGAGGAAAUUAGAGUGUUUCAAGCAGGCGUACGCCUUGAAUACAUUAGCAUGGAAUAAUGAGAUAGGACCUUGGUUCUAUUUUGUUGGUUUGCACGCCAUUGUAAUGAUUGAUAGGGACAGUUGGGGGUAUUCAUAUUUAAUUGUCAGAGGUGAAAUUCUUGGAUUUAUGAAAGAUGAACUACUGCGAAAGCAUUUACCAAGGAUGUUUUCAUUAAUCAAGAACGAAAGUUAGGGGAUCGAAGAUGAUUAAGAU